CCUACGGGUGGCAGCAGUGAGGAAUAUUGGUCAAUGGGCGUAAGCCUGAACCAGCCAAGUCGCGUGAGGGAUGAAGGUUCUAUGGAUCGUAAACCUCUUUUAUCAGGGAAUAAAGUGCGGGACGUGUCCCGUUUUGUAUGUACCUUAUGAAUAAGGAUCGGCUAACUCCGUGCCAGCAGCCGCGGUAAUACGGAGGAUCCGAGCGUUAUCCGGAUUUAUUGGGUUUAAAGGGUGCGUAGGCGGCCUUUUAAGUCAGCGGUGAAAGUCUGUGGCUCAACCAUAGAAUGGCCGUUGAAACUGGGAGGCGUGAGGAUGUUUGAGGCAGGCGGAAUGCGUGGUGUAGCGGUGAAAUGCAUAGAUAUCACGCAGAACCCCGAUUGCGAAGGCAGCUUACCAAUCUAUAUCUGACGUUGAGGCACGAAAGCGUGGGGAGCAAACAGGAUUAGAUACCCCAGUAGUC
rnacentral:rRNA from 1 species